UACGUAGGGGGCAAGCGUUGUCCGGAAUUAUUGGGCGUAAAGAGCGUGUAGGCGGCUCGGUAAGUCUGCUGUGAAAGUCCAGGGCUCAACCCUGGAAUGCCGGUGGAAACUGUCGAGCUAGAGUCCGGAAGAGGCGAGUGGAAUUCCUGGUGUAGCGGUGAAAUGCGUAGAGAUGCGGAGGAACACCAGUGGCGAAGGCGACUCUUUGGUCUGUAACUGACGCUGAGGCGCGAAAGCGUGGGGAGCAAACAGG
rnacentral:rRNA from 1 species